AUUGAACGCUGGCGGCAUGCCUUACACAUGCAAGUCGAACGGUAACAGGUCUUCGGAUGCUGACGAGUGGCGAACGGGUGAGUAAUACAUCGGAACGUGCCCGAUCGUGGGGGAUAACGAGGCGAAAGCUUUGCUAAUACCGCAUACGAUCUACGGAUGAAAGCGGGGGAUCUUCGGACCUCGCGCGGACGGAGCGGCCGAUGGCAGAUUAGGUAGUUGGUGGGAUAAAAGCUUACCAAGCCGACGAUCUGUAGCUGGUCUGAGAGGAUGAUCAGCCACACUGGCACUGAGACACGGCCCAGACUCCUACGGGAGGCAGCAGUGGGGAAUUUUGGACAAUGGGCGAAAGCCUGAUCCAGCCAUGCCGCGUGCAGGAUGAUGGCCUUCGGGUUGUAAACUGCUUUUGUACGGAACGAAAAGCCUCUUUCUAAUAAAGAGGGGUCAUGACGGUACCGUAAGAAUAAGCACCGGCUAACUACGUG
rnacentral:rRNA from 1 species